CCCUGGCUUGCCCAGGGCAGUUGGUCUUCUAGGGCUGGCACAACCUCCCUUCACCUGUGACAUCAGUGCUGGCUGCCAUGUGUGUGUCCCAGCCCUGCCAAUGUGUUGGUACAAUGUAUCUGCACAAUGCAGUUUAUUCUCACUAAAUCUUCCCUUACAUUGUGCUGAUGUUACUGUUUCCCAGCAUGCAGUGGCUCUCUGGUGACCUUAAUGGGAAAGGAGCCAGCCUCUAGCAAAUCUCGUUUUUGAGGAAGGAGAAACAUGACCAUGAGGCAGGCAAUAAAUAAAGGUCCAGGGCAGCGAGGGCAGCAAGGAAGGAAACAUACUGUUUUGUCCAGCUGCAUCAAGCAAUAGGCACAUGCAGGAAUCUGUCCUGUCUGAUUUGGUUUGCUGUUUCUUUUAAAGGACAUUUCUCUGGAGAGGCUAAUUCUCCUGCUUUUAUUCCUGCUUUUUCAGCUGCCACAAGAGGGCUGGAGAGGUUUGUCUCUUCCUGUCGCUUUCCAUUAGGUUAUUUCAGGAGGUAAUAUACUGUCUUUUGAAAAGUUGUGUCUCACUUGGAGUGAUUUUGAGAAGCAUGACAAGGAAAAAUGAUCAGGCGGGGCUUUAAACAGUUCAGGAAACAACUCAUUCUUUUAACAACCAAUAGUCCAGACUCUUUAAAUGAGCACCUUCUAUGUACCAGGUAUUAUAUUUGGCUCAGGGCAACAGCACAGAAAAGAGGAAAGAAGCCUGCAGAGUUUACUACAUUUGGAGAACUGAGACUGGAUUGUGCAGGACUCCUGGCCAUUCUGAUCUAGGAGACAGGGCGUGGCAAAACUGGCUGGGGAAACUGUCAAUCACCAGUUCCCAGGUAACUUGAAGACCCAUAUGUGGAACUUCCCACAAGCCUUCACGCAGUGUGGACAGCGUAAAAAGGACUGGCUCUCACAGAAAGCCUAUCGUGCGUGAGUUUGCACAGUAGCCUGGCGUGUCUGAUAGCGGCGUGUACUUCUAUUUUUGCUUUUACCGUCUUUUUCUUUUUGUCCGGCCCAAGCUUGCUCUGCAGAGCUGAUUUCUCCUAUACCCUUUUACCCCACACUUUUCAAAUAAACUUUUUG
ensembl:lncRNA